UCGAACGGAGUUAUAUUGUAGCUUGCUACGGUAUAACUUAGUGGCAGACGGGUGAGUAAUGUAUAGGAAUCUACCUAGUAGUACGGGAUAAUUGUUGGAAACGUCAACUAAUACCGUAUACGCCCUACGGGGGAAAAAUUUAUUGCUAUCAGAUGAGCCUAUAUUAGAUUAGCUAGUUGGUGGAGUAAUAGCCUACCAAGGCAAUGAUCUAUAGCUGAUCUGAGAGGAUGAUCAGCCACACUGGAACUGAGAUACGGUCCAGACUCCUACGGGAGGCAGCAGUGGGGAAUAUUGGACAAUGGGCGAAAGCCUGAUCCAGCCAUGCCGCAUGAGUGAAGAAGGCCUUUGGGUUGUAAAGCUCUUUUAGUGAGGAAGAUAAUGACGGUACUCACAGAAGAAGUCCUGGCUAACUCCGUGCCAGCAGCCGCGGUAAUACGGAGAGGGCUAGCGUUAUUCGGAAUUAUUGGGCGUAAAGGGCGCGUAGGCUGGUUAAUAAGUUAAAAGUGAAAUCCCGAGGCUUAACCUUGGAAUUGCUUUUAAAACUAUUAAUCUAGAGAUUGAAAGAGGAUAGAGGAAUUCCUGAUGUAGAGGUAAAAUUCGUAAAUAUUAGGAGGAACACCAGUGGCGAAGGCGUCUAUCUGGUUCAAAUCUGACGCUGAAG
rnacentral:rRNA from 1 species